rnacentral:tRNA from 14 species
UGGCGCAAUGGAAGCGCAUAGCACUUCUAAUGCUGAAGUUAUGGGUUCGAAUCCCG